UACGAAGGGGGCUAGCGUUGCUCGGAAUCAUUGGGCUUAAAGGGUGCGUAGGCGGGCUCGUGAGUCAGGGGUGAAAUCCCACGGCCCAACCGUGGAAGUGCCUCUGAUACCGCGGGCCUCGAGGGGGAUAGGGGCGUGCGGAACUUCCGGUGGAGCGGUGAAAUGCGUAGAUAUCGGAAAGAACACCAACGGCGAAAGCACUCUGCUGGGCCGACACUGACACUGAGAGACGAAAGCUAGGGGAGCGAAUGGG
rnacentral:rRNA from 1 species